UACGGAGGUGGCAAGCGUUGUUCGGAAUUACUGGGCGUAAGGGCGCGUAGGCGGUUUAGCAAGUCAGAUGUGAAAGCCCCGAGCUUAACUCGGGAACUGCAUCUGAAACUGCUUGACUUGAGUCCUGGAUGGGGUAGUGGAAUUCCCAGUGUAGCGGUGAAAUGCGUAGAUAUUGGGAGGAACACCUGCGGCGAAGGCGGCUACCUGGACAGUGACUGACGCUGAGGCGCGAAAGCUAGGGGAGCGAACGGG
rnacentral:rRNA from 1 species